rnacentral:rRNA from 1 species
GACGUAGGGCGCGAGCGUUGUCCGGAUUUAUUGGGCGUAAAGAGCUCGUAGGCGGCUUGUUGCGUCGACCGUGAAAACCCGGGGCUCAACUUCGGGCUUGCGGUUGAUACGGGCGGGCUGGAGUUCGGUAGGGGAGACUGGAAUUCCUGGUGUAGCGGUGAAAUGCGCAGAUAUCGGGAAGAACACCCGUGGCGAAGGCGGUUCUCUGGGACGGUACUGACGCUGAGACGCGAAAGCGUGGGGAGCGAACAGG